GUCCCCUCCUCUAAAAGCACUCUGUGUGGGGAACAUGAGAGCCAGACCAAAGCUCAGAGGAAGAAACGAGGAACUAAAUGCAAACAUGAACCUGAACCCAGCUCUGUGUCCUUACAGAGUGACAAGUCUAAAGAGGCCAUCAUUCAUUUUAAAGUCCAGCCUGUGUCUGCUGUAGAGAGUGUCACACAGACAGGAUCUGAUGAUCUUCUUGUUCCUAUAAUGAAGUGACUGAUAAAGCUCCUUUCAAACAUGAAGCAGUGAUCAAGCUGCUGCCGACCACAGUGAUGAAUCUGCAGACAGCUGGAUCAAAUCAGAGGAGUUUACUACACCUUACUGACUGUGCUGAUCUCACAGUGAGAGCAAGUUUGUUCCACAGUGUUGAUGCUGAAACAGUGAAACACAGUCCUGUGUUUGAACCCUGACCUUUGACCCUGUAACAGUCAUUUAUUCUCUGGUCUGAGGGUCUCAGCUUGAAGCUGCUCUGAGAUAUAAAGUGCAGCUGUAACAUGUAGAGAUUUGAUUCAACUGGAUUCUGCAGUGAACGUGAAGCUGCUGCAGUGAUGUGUUCACUGUCCUCAGUGUGUGUAGGAGCUUUGCUGCUGUGUGUUGUACUAACUGUAGACGAGACACUGCUGCAUCAUUUAGGCCUGAAUACACUGAGCUGAAAUCAUGUGAUCAGGAGGAAAUGAUGGUGUGGAUCAGCUAAUCAGGAGCAUUGAUCGCACUCUAGAAACCUUUGUAACCUGUACAAAUGAGACUGAACUAGACUUCUGUUUGCUGCUUAACAUUCACAUGCUGAUCAAAGAUGAGCUCAAAGUGUUUUCACUCAGUUGUUCAAGGAGGAGAGAUGAGAUUAAAAUGUGAUCAGGACCAACAAA